GAUCAACUGGCCUAGUGGUAAGGCGUCCGUCUUACACACGGAAGAUCGUAGGUUCGAACCCUGCGUUGAUCA